GACGAACGCUGGCGGUGUGCUUAACACAUGCAAGUCGAACGGUAAGGCCCUUUCGGGGGUACACGCGUGGCGGACGGGUGGGUAAGACGUACGUGAGUUGCCCUCCUCUGUGGGUUAAAAAACGUCAAGGGACUGUGGCUAUGACUGUGUACUUGCUCGUCCUCCAUGGGGUUGGAUGGAUUUUUUUUGGUUGGGGAUGGACUCGCGGCCUAUCAGCUUGUUGGUGUGGGAGUGGCUCACCAAGACUUCGACGGGUAGCCGGCCUGAGAGGGCGACCGGCCACAUUGGGACUGAGAUACGGCCCAAACUCCUACGGGAGGCAGCAGUGGGGAAUAUUGCACAAUGGACGGAAGUCUGAUGCAGCAACGCCGCGUGCGGGAUGACGGCCUUCGGGUUGUAAACCGCUUUCAAUUGUGACGAAGCUUUUUUGUGACGGUAGCAGUAGAAGAAGCACCGGCUAACUACGUG
rnacentral:rRNA from 1 species